UCCAGACUCCUACGGGAGGCAGCAGUGGGGAAUAUUGCACAAUGGGGGAAACCCUGAUGCAGCGACGCCGCGUGAGUGAAGAAGUAAUUCGUUAUGUAAAGCUCUCUCAGCAGGGAAGAAAAUGACGGUACCUGAGUAAGAAGCCCCGGCUAACUACGUGCCAGCAGCCGCGGUAAUACGUAGGGGGCAAGCGUUAUCCGGAUUUACUGGGUGUAAAGGGAGCGUAGACGGCAGUGCAGGUCUGGAGUGAAAGCCCACGGCCCAACCGUGGGACUGCUCUGGAAACUGUAGAGCUGGAGUGCGGGAGGGGCAGGCGGAAUUCCUAGUGUAGCGGUGAAAUGCGUAGAUAUUAGGAGGAACACCGGCGGCGAAGGCGGCCUGCUGGACCGUAACUGACGUUGAGGCUCGAAAGCGUGGGGAUCAAACAGGAUUAGAUACCCCGGUAA
rnacentral:rRNA from 1 species